CGUGCCUAAUACAUGCAAGUCGAGCGGACAGAAGGGAGCUUGCUCCCGGAUGUUAGCGGCGGACGGGUGAGUAACACGUGGGUAACCUGCCUGUAAGACUGGGAUAACUCCGGGAAACCGGAGCUAAUACCGGAUAGUUCCUUGAACCGCAUGGUUCAAGGAUGAAAGACGGUUUCGGCUGUCACUUACAGAUGGACCCGCGGCGCAUUAGCUAGUUGGUGAGGUAACGGCUCACCAAGGCGACGAUGCGUAGCCGACCUGAGAGGGUGAUCGGCCACACUGGGACUGAGACACGGCCCAGACUCCUACGGGAGGCAGCAGUAGGGAAUCUUCCGCAAUGGACGAAAGUCUGACGGAGCAACGCCGCGUGAGUGAUGAAGGUUUUCGGAUCGUAAAGCUCUGUUGUUAGGGAAGAACAAGUGCAAGAGU
rnacentral:rRNA from 1 species